GCCUCUCGCAGGGGCAGGCACAGGAGCCGCGGUUGGGAGAGGCACUGCUCUGUGCCUCUCGCAACUGCGGCUCCUAUGCCUGCUCUUGCCAGAGGC
rnacentral:miRNA from 1 species